AAACCAACAGGGAUUGCCCCAGUAACGGCGAGUGAAGCGGCAACAGCUCAAAUUUGAAAUCUGGCCCCCAGGGCCCGAGUUGUAAUUUGCAGAGGAUGCUUUUGGCGCGGUGCCUUCCGAGUUCCCUGGAACGGGACGCCAUAGAGGGUGAGAGCCCCGUCUGGUCGGACACCAAGCCAGUGUAAAGCUCCUUCGACGAGUCGAGUAGUUUGGGAAUGCUGCUCUAAAUGGGAGGUAUAUGUCUUCUAAAGCUAAAUACCGGCCAGAGACCGAUAGCGCACAAGUAGAGUGAUCGAAAGAUGAAAAGCACUUUGAAAAGAGGGUUAAACAGUACGUGAAAUUGUUGAAAGGGAAGCGUUUAUGACCAGACUUGGGCCCGGUGAAUCAUCCAGCGUUCUCGCUGGUGCACUUUGCCGGGCUCAGGCCAGCAUCAGUUCGCCGCGGGGGAUAAAGGCUUCGGGAACGUGGCUCCCUCGGGAGUGUUAUAGCCCGUUGCGUAAUACCCUGUGGCGGACUGAGGUUCGCGCUCCGCAAGGAUGCUGGCGUAAUGGUCAUCAGCGAC
rnacentral:rRNA from 1 species